UACGUAGGGGGCAAGCGUUGUCCGGAUUUACUGGGCGUAAAGAGCGUGUAGGCGGCCAUACAGGUCAGCUGUGAAAACUCGAGGCUCAACCUCGAGACGUCGGUUGAAACCGUAUGGCUAGAGUCCGGAAGAGGAGAGUGGAAUUCCCGGUGUAGCGGUGAAAUGCGCAGAUAUCGGGAAGAACACCCGUGGCGAAGGCGGCUCUCUGGGACGGUACUGACGCUGAGACACGAAAGCGUGGGUAGCAAACAGG
rnacentral:rRNA from 1 species